UACGGAGGGUGCAAGCGUUAUCCGGAUUUACUGGGUUUAAAGGGUGCGUAGGUGGGUAGGAAAGUCAGUGGUGAAAUCUUCGGGCUUAACCCGGAAACUGCCAUUGAUACUAUUUAUCUUGAAUACUUUGGAGGUAAGCGGAAUAUGUCAUGUAGCGGUGAAAUGCUUAGAUAUGACAUAGAACACCCAUUGCGAAGGCAGCUAACUACGCGAUAAUUGACGCUGAUGCACGAAAGCGUAGGGAUCAAACAGG
rnacentral:rRNA from 1 species